ensembl:lncRNA
GGGGGACGCGUGCGCGUGAGGGAGGGACUGAGAGGGAGAGCGCGUGCGUGAGCGAGCGUGAGUGAGGGAGAAGGCGAAGCGUGGAAACGUACAGCGCGCGCACCGUCACCACGGAGCAGCGCUUUGAUCUCCAAAGCUCAGGACGAGGCAGCAGACCGACGGCUCGCGUUUCUGAUCGAGACCGACCCUAACGCGGUCCGUCACCUCGCCAGCGACGGCGCCGCCACCUUUUUGCAGCACAAACGGCGAGCCUGUGCAGGAAGCUUAGAAUCCAGGUGGGGCGUCUAUUUCGGACGUUACAGCGGACAGUACGGUACAUGUGACCAGUUAGUAGGCUGAGAAGCUUAAUCCGAG